rnacentral:rRNA from 1 species
AGUCAACAUGCCCAGGGGACGUGGAUAACCUCGGGAAACUGAGGAUAAACCGCGAUAGGCCAAGGUUUCUGGAAUGGACAAUGGCUGAAACCUAUAUGGCCCCUGGAUUGGACUGCGGCCGAUCAGGCUGUUGGUGAGGUAAUGGCCCACCAAACCUGUAACCGGUACGGGCUCUGAGAGGAGGAGCCCGGAGAUGGGCACUGAGACAAGGGCCCAGGCCCUAUGGGGCGCAGCAGGCGCGAAACCUCUGCAAUAGGCGAAAGCUUGACAGGGUUACUCUGAGUGAUGUCCGCUAAGGGCAUCUUUUGGCACUUCUAAAAAUAGUGUAGAAUAAGGGGUGGGCAAGUCUGGUGUCAGCCGCCGCGGUAAUACCAGCACCCCGAGUGGUCGGGACGAUUAUUGGGCCUAAAGCAUCCGUAGCCGGUUCUGCAAGUCUUCCGUUAAAUCCACCUGCUCAACAGAUGGGCUGCGGAGGAUACUACAGGGCUAGGAGGCGGGAGAGGCAAGCGGUACUCAGUGGGUAGGGGUAAAAUCCUCUGAUCCACUGAAGACCACCAGUGGCGAAGGCGGCUUGCCAGAACGCGCUCGACGGUGAGGGAUGAAAGCUGGGGGAGCAAACCGGAUUAGAUACCCGGGUAGUCCCAGCUGUAAACGAUGCAGACUCGGUGAUGGGGUUGGCUUCGAGCCAACCCAGUGCCGCAGGGAAGCCGUUAAGUCUGCCGCCUGGGGAGUACGGUCGCAAGACUGAAACUUAA